CUGGGGCUCCCAUGAUGUCCAGCACUGGGCUCUGAUCACCCCUGAGGACACAGUGCACCCCAGGACCUUUGACACCUGGGGGUCUGAGGGGCCCCAG
rnacentral:snoRNA from 1 species